rnacentral:rRNA from 1 species
CAGCAGCCACGGGAAAACGGAGGGUGCAAGCGUUAAUCGGAAUUACUGGGCGUAAAGCGUGCGUAGGCGGUUCGUUAAGUCUGUUGUGAAAGCCCCGGGCUCAACCUGGGAAUGGCAAUGGAUACUGGCGAGCUAGAGUGUGUCAGAGGAUGGUGGAAUUCCCGGUGUAGCGGUGAAAUGCGUAGAGAUCGGGAGGAACAUCAGUGGCGAAGGCGGCCAUCUGGGACAACACUGACGCUGAGGCACGAAAGCGUGGGGAGCAAACAGGAUUAGAUACCCCAGUAGUCCCUGUCUCUUAUAU